GUGUUCGUUGAAAGGAGAGACGGUUGGCAUCUUCCCUGACAGGGACGGGAUCAACCCUCGAGCUUACCUGUUACCACUUAAGCAUCAAAUGCCUACACUGGGUAAAGCACCUCAAAUACUCUUGACGUUUUUUU
rnacentral:ncRNA from 1 species